rnacentral:tRNA from 1 species
GUAGAGCAUUGGACUUUUAAUCCAAGGGUCGAGGGUUCGAGCCCCUCGCGACUCA